UACGAAGGGGGCUAGCGUUGUUCGGAAUUACUGGGCGUAAAGCGCACGUAGGCGGAUUGUUAAGUCGGGGGUGAAAUCCUGAGGCUCAACCUCAGAACUGCCUUUGAUACUGCAAAUCUCGAGUCCGGAAGAGGUGAGUGGAAUUCCUAGUGUAGAGGUGAAAUUCGUAGAUAUUAGGAAGAACACCAGUGGCGAAGGCGGCUCACUGGUCCGGUACUGACGCUGAGGUGCGAAAGCGUGGGGAGCAAACAGG
rnacentral:rRNA from 1 species